rnacentral:rRNA from 1 species
GACGAACGCUGGCGGCGUGCCUAAUACAUGCAAGUAGAACGCACAGUUUAUACCGUAGCUUGCUACACCAUAGACUGUGAGUUGCGAACGGGUGAGUAACGCGUAGGUAACCUGCCUGGUAGCGGGGGAUAACUAUUGGAAACGAUAGCUAAUACCGCAUAAUAUUGAUUAUUGCAUGAUAAUUGAUUGAAAGAUGCUAUUGCAUCACUACCAGAUGGACCUGCGUUGUAUUAGCUAGUAGGUGAGGUAACGGCUCACCUAGGCGACGAUACAUAGCCGACCUGAGAGGGUGAUCGGCCACACUGGGACUGAGACACGGCCCAGACUCCUACGGGAGGCAGCAGUAGGGAAUCUUCGGCAAUGGACGAAAGUCUGACCGAGCAACGCCGCGUGAGUGGAGAAGGGUUUCGGAUCGUAAAGCUCUGUUGUAAGAGAAGAACGGGUGUGAGAGUGGAAAGUUCACACUGUGACGGUAGCUUACCAGAAAGGGACGGCUAACUACGUG